GACGAACGCUGGCGGCGUGCUUAACACAUGCAAGUCGAACGGAAAGGCCCUGCUUUUGUGGGGUGCUCGAGUGGCGAACGGGUGAGUAAUACGUGAGUAACCUGCCCUUGACUUUGGGAUAACUUCAGGAAACUGGGGCUAAUACCGGAUAGGAGCUCCUGCUGCAUGGUGGGGGUUGGAAAGUUUCGGCGGUUGGGGAUGGACUCGCGGCUUAUCAGCUUGUUGGUGGGGUAGUGGCUUACCAAGGCUUUGACGGGUAGCCGGCCUGAGAGGGUGACCGGCGACAUUGGGACUGAGAUACGGCGGAGACUCCUACGGGAGGCAGCAGUGGGGAAUAGUGCACAAUGGGCGGAAGCCUGAUGCAGCAACGCCGCGUGCGGGAUGACGGCGGUCGGGUUGUAAACCGCUUUCGCCUGUGACGAAGCGUGAGUGACGGUAAUGGGUAAAGAAGCAACGGCUAACUACGUG
rnacentral:rRNA from 1 species